GAUGAACGCUGGCGGCGUGCCUAAUACAUGCAAGUCGAGCGAACGGACGAGAAGCUUGCUUCUCUGAUGUUAGCGGCGGACGGGUGAGUAACACGUGGAUAACCUACCUAUAAGACUGGGAUAACUUCGGGAAACCGGAGCUAAUACCGGAUAAUAUUUUGAACCGCAUGGUUCAAAAGUGAAAGACGGUCUUGCUGUCACUUAUAGAUGGAUCCGCGCUGCAUUAGCUAGUUGGUAAGGUAACGGCUUACCAAGGCAACGAUGCAUAGCCGACCUGAGAGGGUGAUCGGCCACACUGGAACUGAGACACGGUCCAGACUCCUACGGGAGGCAGCAGUAGGGAAUCUUCCGCAAUGGGCGAAAGCCUGACGGAGCAACGCCGCGUGAGUGAUGAAGGUCUUCGGAUCGUAAAACUCUGUUAUUAGGGAAGAACAUAUGUGUAAGUAACUGUGCACAUCUUGACGGUACCUAAUCAGAAAGCCACGGCUAACUACGUGCCAGCAGCCGCGGUAAUACGUAGGUGGCAAGCGUUAUCCGGAAUUAUUGGGCGUAAAGCGCGCGCAGGCGGUUUUUUAAGUCUGAUGUGAAAGCCCACGGCUCAACCGUGGAGGGUCAUUGGAAACUGGAAAACUUGAGUGCAGAAGAGGAAAGUGGAAUUCCAUGUGUAGCGGUGAAAUGCGCAGAGAUAUGGAGGAACACCAGUGGCGAAGGCGACUUUCUGGUCUGUAACUGACGCUGAUGUGCGAAAGCGUGGGGAUCAAACAGGAUUAGAUACCCUGGUAGUCCACGCCGUAAACGAUGAGUGCUAAGUGUUAGGGGGUUUCCGCCCCUUAGUGCUGCAGCUAACGCAUUAAGCACUCCGCCUGGGGAGUACGACCGCAAGGUUGAAACUCAAAGGAAUUGACGGGGACCCGCACAAGCGGUGGAGCAUGUGGUUUAAUUCGAAGCAACGCGAAGAACCUUACCAAAUCUUGACAUCCUUUGACAACUCUAGAGAUAGAGCCUUCCCCUUCGGGGGACAAAGUGACAGGUGGUGCAUGGUUGUCGUCAGCUCGUGUCGUGAGAUGUUGGGUUAAGUCCCGCAACGAGCGCAGCCCUUAAGCUUAGUUGCCAUCAUUAAGUUGGGCACUCUAAGUUGACUGCCGGUGACGAACCGGAGGAAGGUGGGGAUGACGUCAAAUCAUCAUGCCCCUUAUGAUUUGGGCUACACACGUGCUACAAUGGACAAUACAAAGGGCAGCGAAACCGCGAGGUCAAGCAAAUCCCAUAAAGUUGUUCUCAGUUCGGAUUGUAGUCUGCAACUCGACUACAUGAAGCUGGAAUCGCUAGUAAUCGUAGAUCAGCAUGCUACGGUGAAUACGUUCCCGGGUCU
rnacentral:rRNA from 1 species